rnacentral:lncRNA from 1 species
CGAAAAGCUUGGAGGCUAGUUUCCUCUAUCAUAAAUUGAGUUUUCCAAGUGGCUCUACAAGUAUUGAUGCGAACAGACCAGAUAUGGCCUGUCUUCUCAAACAAAUGCGAUUAAUGAAUGACUUUCAGAAGGAAGUGACAGCAUCCUGAGAAGUACAUGGAGGAAAUCAUUGAGAACACCCUCUCUCUUCUCGCUCUGCAUUCUGAACAGGCCAUGAGCAGUCCCGGCUCUGAGAAAUCCCUGGAGCCCAUACACUCAAUCUCUCUGCUGGAUAUCAAUGCCACCUUGUUUAAGAAAUGGAGGCCCAAAUUAAAUUCCCUAGAAAGUGCCUUGACUCACAUAGCAGACAUGCUGGCGAGGAUCGCUACCACUGAACGAGGUUUAUCACUCCUGCUUUAUGACAGAAAUCUCGUCUCAGCCGAGGGUGAAAAUAUUUCAGCUGCACAUGUGGUUGUGCAGUUUACCCAGAGGCUGUGGCAAAAGAGCUGCAUGUGUUCAGUGAGCUGGAGAUUCCUCCCGCCGUGA